rnacentral:rRNA from 1 species
AUGAGCUGUGCUGUGGAAAGAGGCAUCCAGCAUCCAUCCGCCAUGAGAGCUACCAGCCAACUGCCGGCACGUCUCCUACUGCAGCGGCUCUUGAUCUGCUUCUUCCUCCUUUCCAUCGCCGCCGGUGUCACUGACAAGCUCGAGAGGGGCCAGAAGCUCACCGAUGGCGACACGCUCGUCUCCGCCGGCGGCUCCUUCACCCUCGGGUUCUUCUCUCCCGGGGCGUCCACCAAGAGGUACCUCGGCAUAUGGUUCUCGGUGUCCAACGACACCGUCUGCUGGGUCGCCAACCGCGACAAGCCGCUCCUUGACAAGUCCGGCACGCUGGUGCUCAACGACGUCGGCAGCCUCGUCUUGGGGGACACCUCCCGCCGGGCCCGGACGGUCUGGUCUUCGAACUUCCUGCCCGCCUCUGCGGCGGCGGUUCAGCUUCUCGACUCCGGCAACCUGGUCGUGCGCAACGGCAGCAGCAACGCCUCCCUGUGGCAGUCGUUCGAUCAGCCGUCGGACACCUUGCUGCCCGGCAUGAAGCUGGGCAAGAACGUCUGGACCGGAGGCGAGUGGCAGCUCACGUCCUGGAGCUCCGCCGACGACCCGUCGCCGGGAGACUACCGCCGCACGCUGCAAACCACCGGGUUACCGGAGAUCAUCCUGUGGUACCACGACGUCAAAACGUACCGCACGGGCCCGUGGAACGGGAUCUACUUCAACGGCGUCCCGGAGGCGCGUGCGUACGCGGGCAAGUACCCGCUGCUGGUGACGAGCAGCCCGUGGGAGACCACCUACGGGUACACCGCCGCGCCCGGCGCGCCGCUGACCCGCGUCGUGGUGAACCACACCGGCAAGGCAGAGCGGCUGGAGUGGGACGCGAGCAGCCGGGAGUGGAACCGUAUAUUCCAGGGGCCGAGGGACCCGUGCGACGAGUACGGGAAGUGCGGUCCGUUCGGCCUCUGCGACCCCGAGGCGGCGUCGUCGGGGUUCUGCGGCUGUGUCGCCGGGUUCAGCGCCGCGAACACGUCGGCUCUGGUGGUGAAGGAUAACGCCGACGGGUGCCGACGAGCCGCCGCGCUGGAUUGUGCCGGCGGGACGACGACGGACGGGUUCAAGGUGGUGUCAGGGAUGAAGCUUCCCGACACGCAGAAUGCGUCGGUGGACAUGGGCGUCACGCUGGAGGAGUGCAGGGCGAGGUGCCUCGCCAACUGCUCCUGCUUGGCCUACGCCGCCGCCGAUAUUCGGGGAGGCGGCGAUGGCACCGGGUGCGUCAUGUGGGCGUAUGCCAUUGUUGAUCUACGCCUCGUCGACAGAGGGCAGAAUCUCUACCUGAGGCUGUCAAAAUCAGAAAUCGAUGGCCGUAAAAGGUUUCCUACACUACUUGUUGCCACAACUCUACCUUCUGCUGUGACUAUUCUUCUGGUCGUCUUUAUGAUUUGGUGGAGAAGGAAAAACAGAAUUAUAGGUGCUAUUCCUCGGAAUCCUACCAUGGCGGUUCCUUCAGUUAGUCUAGCAAUUAUAAAGGAUAUUACUAGAAAUUUCUCUAAAAGUAAUAUCAUCGGGCAGGGCGGAUUUAGCAUUGUUUACAAGGGACAGCUUCCUGAAGGAAGAACUAUUGCUGUCAAGAGGCUUAAACAAACGGCAUUGACAACAAAAGGCAAGAAUGAUUUCGCGAGAGAAGUGGAAGUGAUGGUUGGGCUUCGACAUGGUAGUCUUGUUUGUCUCCUCGCUUACUGUGAUGAAGGCAAGGAGCGGAUACUCAUCUACGAAUACAUGCAGAACAAGAGUCUGAACAUCUACAUAUUUGGCACACCUAAUCUUCGUGCUUCACUGGACUGGGUAAGAAGGUUAGAAUUACUACGCGAGAUCGCGCAUGGUGUUGCAUACCUCCACGCAGGAUCAGGCGAGAGUGUGAUCCACCGUGACCUUAAACCCGGGAACAUUCUUCUUGAUGAUGAGUGGAAGCCAAAAAUCGCUGACUUUGGCACCGCCAAACUGUUUGCGGAUAAUCGGACUGGGCACGAUCAAACAAUUGUUAUUUCUCCGGGAUACGCAGCUCCGGAGUAUGUGCGGGGAGGGGAGAUGACGCUGAAAUGCGACGUUUAUAGCUUUGGAGUUAUUCUUCUAGAGACUCUUAGCGGGCAAAGGAAUGGUAGCUUGCAAAGGCUUCUUUCCCAAGCCUGGGAACUGUGGGAGCAGAAUAGGAUCAUUGAACUUCUCGACAUGACAAUUGUGCCGCUCCCCAAGUCCGAGCCUGAGAUACUUCCUGAGCUAAAACGUUGUAUCCAAAUCGGGCUCCUCUGCGUCCAGGAGAUGCCAGAUGAUAGGCCAGCCAUGCCUGAAGUUGUGGCCAUGUUUACAAGCACAACAUCACAAAUUGAUUGGCCCAGAAGAUCGGUACUAGAUAGCAGAAUAGUCAUGCCUUUGAAUCUGUCCCUUGAACUUGACACUGAUCACUUGAACCCCACUGCAAUUGAGGUGAGAUCGCCAUCGAGUCGAUCCAGCUAUUGUUGUCUAGCUAGCAACCAAUCUAAUUAA